rnacentral:rRNA from 1 species
GCCACUGCUAUUGGGGUUCGGCUAAGCCAUGCGAGUGGAGGGCGUCCCGCAAGGGAUGGCCCCGCAGACGGCUCAGUAACACGUCGUCAACCCACCUUAGGGUGGGGGACAACCUCGGGAAACUGAGGAUAAUCCCCCAUAGGCGGGGGAGGCUAGAAUGCGCCCCCGCUGAAAGCUCAGGCGCCCUAGGACGGGACGGCGGCCUACCAGGUAGUUGGUGGUGUGACG